rnacentral:rRNA from 1 species
UACGAAGGGGGCUAGCGUUGCUCGGAAUCACUGGGCGUAAAGCGUGCGUAGGCGGGAGUUUAAGUGCAAUGCGAAAUCUUGUGGCUCAACCAUAUAGACUGUAUUGCAUACUGGACACCUAGAGGACGGCAGAGGCAAGUGGAAUUACUGGUGUAGCAGUGAAAUGCGUAGAUAUCAGUAGGAACACCAAUGGCGAAGGCAGCUUGCUGGGCCGACCCUGACGCUAAGGCACGAAAGCGUGGGGAGCGAACAGG